GCAGGGGCCCCUGUACGCUACUGAUGUAGCUACAUAUGUUAUUGCUUGCAAUAACAUAGUAGGUUAGUCAUUUUAAACAUGAGCAGAGCAAGGACCUCUGUGUCUGCGGUGUGCAUGUGCACCACCACCUGAGAAUGUGGCCUCCCGUCCCAUGUGUCCAGCCAGCCGCUAAACAUGCUGAUUGAUAAAGCAGUGUCCAGAGUGGACUAAGUGACAAAACAAAGAUGUGGCUGGAAUGUAUGUAGAAUGAAUGGCCACAGCUGUACACUGGGUAUGUAUGACUACUGGGUAGGAUUAGGACCUGUGUUUCUGUCACUAAUAGGGCCCGUAUUUAUUAAGCCUCUCAGAGUAGAAGUGCUGAUAUAGAGGUUCAGUUUUGCCUUUUAUAUCAUAAUGAAUUAGAUUAUUAUGGACAGAGACCACCUGAUGCUAGAUCAGCACUCCUACUCUGAGACACUUGGUAAAUACGGGCCAUGUAAUUUUACCUUGAAACGGCUUCAGUAGAGUUGAGAGAGAUUUGGUUAUCUCUGGGCGCCCUCUACUGGCAUUGACUCUCAGUCAGAAGUGACCUGUAGUAGCCAUGAACGAUGGCUCGGUAUCAUCGGCAUGGCUGUCUUGUGUCAUUGGUAGACUGUGAUUCAUUGGAGAGGUCGGUUACCAGUGUACAAUGAAGACUCUGUGGUUGUGAUGGUGAUGAUAGCGAUGAUCAAAUGAAUCAUCAGAAAAUGUUUGUUUUUCUUCCUGCGGCUCCUAAGUGAGCAUUCACACUUGCAAGUCAGCCAAAGCCUUAUGCAAUGACCAAUGCGAACCAAAACGCAUUACAGGAUUUUGUAUUGAGCCUCAAUAAAGUGAAAGGGGAAGGGGAAAGAGGAUUUUUCUUGGAAAAAUAUAAUAUCUCCCCAGUGGUUUAACCAGCCAGAGUCCUCUAAUCAUUACUGGCUGUGGAAUCUUAGUCCAAAGAAAACACCUUCUCUAGGGCAGUGUCUACUAUUAUGACAGACCUCCUAUAAUAGUGCUAUAACCCAGCAGCUAGAACAAACAACCUCUGUUUAAGUUUGUUUGGCAUUUAAGUUUGUUUGUCAUAGACCACAUGAUAGUGAUGAAAGAAUGUCAAUGCUCAAGUAAGUGUACAGAAGGGGUAUAAGUUGAAACAACACAGACAAACUGUGUAACACAGUAUCUGUCAUAUACUGUAUCUACUUCCUUUGUGAUUCUAUUUGCUCACACAUCACUUCCUUAGAAUGCUCCUCUCUUCUUUGAGUGCUGUCGUCAAGACUUUUACCCUGAACCUUGACUUCCCAGGUUGAUAGGUAAGUUCUACUUUGACUUUGAGACACAUGGUUAUUACUACACCCAAAGAUGUAUUGCUACAAUAAUCAUAAUUGCAUAAACUUGAUUCAAUUUUAGUAUUUACAACCAGUAUUCAGUGGUGACUGGUAAGUGAGAAGAUGGGUUAUUUACAAAAUUAUAGCAGCAUUUCCUCUUACUGUGCUUUAGGGUCCUUUAAUGUAAGGUCACAUGAAAGAUGUAGGUGAUGAAAUUGAAUUUGGUUUUAUUAAAAUGGAUUGUUUCUGAAUUAAAGGCAAACAAACAUUUUGUGACUGACCAUUUUCCCUGUUUCAAGUAUAGGUCCUUAACACAUUAGCUACUCUAUUGGUGCAAUACAGAGACAGUGUGAAGUUGAGUUAGAAUAUUUGGGCAUUGCAACACCUGGAAGAUUGAAUCAACCAAUACGUGACAUCAGAUAAAUAGUCAGAAUAAUGGUGUAGGGGAUGUCUUUGCACCUCAUGUUUGACUUUUACCCACACAGGAUGAAGUCCAGGUUUUUCAACAUCAUGGUUCUGCUCACAAGAGAUCUCGCUAUGAACGAAGGAAAAAACUAUUCGUUCUCCAACUACACUCAGUCGAUGUGGAUGGUGCAAGAUGCUGGAUGGAAGUUGUCAAUGAGCAGUUUAAGAUGGAGAACCUCAGCACUAUUUUCAAAUCUGUGGAGAAACGAGAAAGGGUUCUUGGAAACACAGCAUUGAAUGAGACGACUUCAAUCAUUGUUGAGAGGCUUGUGGCCCACAUAUUCAGGGCCAAGGGCAAGUUUACUGGGCUUAAUAUAUCUGCCACUCGAGAAGGGGCAAGAUGACAGUGACCCACAAUGAAAUGCUUGAGGAAGUUUAGACACAGUUUUUUGAAAACCACGUGCAGUUUGGCAUUUAUUGGGAAUGGGAUGAAUGUUGUCCUGGAGGCAGUUCUGCAGAGUGGUCACUAGCUGCCUUAGCCACACAAAGUUAUAAAAUCUGACUUUAAGCCUCCCUAAUAUUAACCACACUGCUAACCGUAUGCCUAACCAUAACCUUAAAUUUGUUUUUAUAAAACAUUUUACGAUAUAGCCAAUUUGACUUUGCGGCUGGCCCAUCUAGCGGAAAGCGCUCAGCUCGGCCUCCGUGACAAGAUUCAUCUCAAUAAACUUCAAACCUGCGAACUGCAUCACAUGCAAAUACAGUUGAAGUCGUAAGUUUACAUACACUUAGGUUGGAGUCAUUAAAACUAGUUUUUCAACCACUCCAC